rnacentral:rRNA from 1 species
GCCAGACUCCUACGGGAGGCAGCAGUGGGGAAUAUUGCACAAUGGGGGAAACCCUGAUGCAGCGACGCCGCGUGAGCGAAGAAGUAUUUCGGUAUGUAAAGCUCUCUCAGCAGGGAAGAAGGAGGACGGUACCUGACUAAGAAGCCCCGGCUAACUAUGUGCCAGCAGCCGCGGUAAUACGUAGGGGGCAAGCGUUAUCCGGAUUUACUGGGUGUAAAGGGGGCGCAGACGGCAGCGCAAGCCAGGAGUGAAAGCCCGGGGCCCAACCCCGGGACUGCUCUUGGAACUGCGCGGCUGGAGUGCAGGAGGGGCAGGCGGAAUUCCUGGUGUAGCGGUGAAAUGCGUAGAUAUCAGGAGGAACACCGGUGGCGAAGGCGGCCUGCUGGACUGCGACUGACGUUGAGGCCCGAAAGCGUGGGGAGCAAACAGGAUUAGAUACCCGUGUAAU